AUAUUAAUAAGCGGAGGAAAAGAAACUAACCAGGAUUCCCCUAGUAAUGGCGAAUGAAGCGGGAACAGCUCAAAUUUGUAAUCUCUUCGGAGAAUUGUAGUUUGUAGAGGUGUUUUCGUCGCAGUCUGGGUAAAAGUCCCUUGGAAUAGGGCGUCAUAGAGGGUGAGAAUCCCGUCCAUGAUCCAGAUACUGUCGCACUACGAUACACUUUCAAAGAGUCGGGUUGUUUGGGAAUGCAGCCCAAAGUGGGUGGUAUAUUCCAUCUAAAGCUAAAUACAGGCAAGAGACCGAUAGCGCACAAGUA
rnacentral:rRNA from 1 species